rnacentral:misc_RNA from 1 species
GUUUUCCACUUCACCAUUUUAUGAUAAAAUUGCUAAAUGUGCCAUUUUUGGAAAUUAUGGGCCUGUUUAUUAAUGAAAACAUUUUUCUAUUUUUCAUUUUCCAUUUUCUAAGAAAACUCUAGUUUUCAUUUUCCAUGGAAAAUAAGAAAGAAACAUGAAAAACACGUUUACAUGUCAAUAAUGGAAAACGGUUUUCUAAUUCAAAAAAUUAAAAAAAUAAUAAUACAUAGUUUCCUAAAGUUUUCACUUCCCACAUAUUGCUAUGUAGUGGAGGAAAUGGGAUUUGGAAACACAGAACUAAAUGGAGUGGUUACCUUAUUGCAUCCAAUGUGGUGCAUUGUUUUGAAAAUAGUAAAAUUGUGAUAAAAGAUAUGACACAAUGAAGUUGUAAUCUUUGUGUAAAUUUUCUGUUUGCAAAUGCUACCAGUUGAAGUUGUGUGUCUUACCAAUGAAGCAUGUUUGGAUUUGGACCCUAGGGUAUUAGGUAGAUUUUUGUGUAUGUCUGAGACAGUCUUUUAUUGUCAGGUGGUGCAUGCAGAUAAAUUUGAAAGAUAAUUUUAAAGUUUAAAUAGUUAGGUUAAGGUUCUGAGUAUUGGCACUGUCAAAUGUAGGUUCAAUGGCUGAUCAAAGAAUUUUCAUAUGCAAGGUCUGGCCUGAAAUUGGAGAAUCAUUCUUA